rnacentral:rRNA from 1 species
CAGCAGCCGCGGUAAUACGAAGGGGGCUAGCGUUACUCGGAAUUACUGGGCGUAAAGGGCGCGUAGGCGGCGCUCCAAGUUAGGCGUGAAAGUCCUGGGCUCAACCUGGGAACUGCGCUUAAGACUGGAGUGCUUGAGGAUGGAAGAGGGUUGUGGAAUUCCCAGUGUAGAGGUGAAAUUCGUAGAUAUUGGGAAGAACACCGGUGGCGAAGGCGGCAACCUGGUCCAUUACUGACGCUGAGGCGCGACAGCGUGGGGAGCAAACAGGAUUAGAUACCCGGGUAGUCCCUGUCUCUUAUAC